rnacentral:rRNA from 1 species
GGACAGAAAGACCCUAUGAACCUUUACUGUAGCUUGGAAUUGGGUUCGGGCUUUUCUUGCGCAGGAUAGGUGGGAGGCUAAGACAAUAAUCUUGCGGGAUUAUUAGAGCCAAUGGUGAGAUACCACUCUGGAAAAGCUAGAAUUCUAACCUUGAAAGCCGUUAUCCGGCCAAGGAACAGUUUCAGGUAGGCAGUUUGACUGGGGCGGUCGCCUCCUAAAAAGUAACGGAGGCGUGCAAAGGUUCUCUCAGGCUGGUCGGAAAUCAGUCGUAGAGUGUAAAGGCAUAAGAGAGCUUGACUGUGAGACCUACAAGUCGAACAGAGACGAAAGUCGGCCUUAGUGAUCCGGCGGUACCGAGUGGAAGGGCUGUCGCUCAACGGAUAAAAGUUACUCUAGGGUAACCAGGCUGA